GGUUCUCUUCCGAUCUACACAAUUCAUUCUUUGUAGCUAAUUAAGCUGAAGAAGCCUGGGAAUAAAGUUUGAAACAAGAUUAAUAAAGUUCUUUGCCUAGU